rnacentral:lncRNA from 1 species
UUUCAAUAUUGUUCUGCUGAAACAUAAUGGAAUCCCCACAGCUAUAAGAUCCUUAGGCUCUCAGGAGUUCAGUGAAGAGCCACUUGAUGUAGCCGCACAGGCUGUCACGGAAGGGUCCUGGGGGCUGCGGAGUUAAUGGAGCCUGGAAGUCCACUGCAGCUGUGGUCAAGCACGGCACCAGAGUCACAGUUUUCUUGCUGGUAAUGAGCUGAGGUUGCUCCAUGGUCUAAAACAAAUCCAAGGUAUGAUGCUACUUGAUGCAAAUCAUGGCUACUGUGAGCGGCAUACACGCGAGGCGGACUCUGGGCCUGGAAUCUGCUGAAGCACCAGCUUCACUGAGUCGAUUUUGAGUUUUCCCUUUGAGAGCCACUGCUGAGAGGGCACAGGAUGUGGGCAGAACUCUUAGCACCCUUGGAUUACGGUUCCU